UUACAACAGUACAAUAGAAUCGUGAUGUUAAACUUCACGAAAAAAUCCGUUUGAGUAUUGAUUAGAAAUUUAUGAAUGGACUGACCCGUAACUUGACGAAAACACUAUCCAUAAUAAUAAUAUAUGAAUUUAUUAAAUUUUUCUGUACAAUGAUAAGACAAUAUCAAUUUGAACAAAUUCAGGAAACCCACAAAGGACACCCUGUGAGUGAGUAUUACUGUUUUAUUCACAACAUUCACAUUAUAAAUCAGAACAGUGAGAGUAAAAUGAAUUUGACAAUUCAGGUUAUGAAAAUGUAAAUUACACAGUUUUUACAAACACUUUUAUUUCUGGGAAAAAUACUCUGCUUGAUAACUACAUUUCCAUUAUAGUUAAUCUCCCAUCCUUCGCAGACGUAGUGGAACUUUCCAGAAACUACGGAGCAGGCUUGGCAAACUACGCAGUUGUCCCCUGCCUCGCUCGGUGUGUAUCGACCCAAGCAAACACUUCACAACUGCGACAUACGUUAUAUGUAAUUCCUACGCGUGGGAGAGAGACGGCUAGAUUUUGAGAUGAGUAUUACACCGUAACCGCUGAGAUCGAUAUGGCUGGGGACGCCAAGCAAACAAUCAGGAGGUCUCUGAAUGUUCUAGAAAAACGCAGUGGAAGGGGAGAACCUUUAAAUACUGUCCCGUUCCGAUUUUGUAACGCAGUCGAAAAUUUUACUAAGUGUGAUAAGUUGAAAAUGGUGUGGAGUAGUGGUGACCAAACAAAGCAGGCAGCUGUUGGGUGUGAUGCAAGAGGAUUGCAAGGAUUUGUAUAAGUCGUAUUCUUUUAGUAUCCAAUUUCAAACGUAGUUUUAAGGUAGCUUGCUGAAAUUUUGUCGAAAUUGAUUGAUUUAUGUGGUCUAGUUACACCUGGCCAGUGUAAAUGGGCCACGUCACAAUUUCCUUUAGUAGAAUUCGAAUUUAAUUAGUGGAACAACUUGUUUUCAACGAAUAUCAUUUGUUUAAAACGAUUACAAAAUGAGCAAGUUCGAUUUAUAAUAAUUGUUCCCUUAUGUGGUAUCAAAAGAUGUUAAUUAAUUUCAGAGUUUUUCAACAUAAUGAUGUAAUUGCGUCAUUGCGCCGUGUCCCAAAAUGGCGGCUAGGGUGCGGUCGUCACCAUCUUGUCGAAUCGAGAUCUAUCGAAACGAAAUCAUUGAGCGACCGUUAGGCAGAUUAAUUGAUUUUUAAGAGAGCAGAUUCGUAGAGUCUUAAGACCAUGGUAUGAUGAUAUUUUACUUAGAGAGGCCCUGGCCUCGCAUAGAUUUACCCGUCAGCUGCGCUGGCACACCUUUUGAGAAUUUUCUAGAUCGUGCUAUGGCAUAGAGAAGUCCGGUUCGUGUAAAGGAUGUCCCCCCAAAAUGAACUGCGAUUUUUGGUAUUCCCAUCGGAGUUUGUGAAUACUUUGAAUGAUUCUUGUAUUAUUUUGGUGUAUAUGGACAAUGUGUUCAUAAGCCUAUAUAUAUAUUUUUUUAUGAAACUUGCGAUGAAAUGCAUUUCACCUGAAAAUUAUGAAGAAACAACCCUAUUAUUGAUAACAUUGAUAUUUAUAUUCCUAUAGAAAAAUACCAUUAUCAUUAUUUGAAAACACUUCAUGGCGUUUGUACAACUUAACUUGAAUCUAAUAUGAAUAAAUACAUUUAAAAGCUUCUA
rnacentral:lncRNA from 1 species